UCGAACCCGGUACUUCCUAC
rnacentral:snRNA from 1 species